rnacentral:rRNA from 1 species
CCUACGGGGGGCAGCAGUGAGGAAUAUUGGUCAAUGGCCGGAAGGCUGAACCAGCCAAGCCGCGUGAGGGAGGAAGGCGCAGAGCGUCGCAGACCUCUUUUGCCGGGGGACAAAAGGCCGGACGGGUCCGGUUCUGAGGGUACCCGGAGAAAAAGCAUCGGCUAACUCCGUGCCAGCAGCCGCGGUAAUACGGAGGAUGCGAGCGUUAUCCGGAUUUAUUGGGUUGAAAGGGUGCGCAGGCGGAUUUUUAAGUCAGCGGUCAAAUCGUGGGGCUCAACCCCAUCCAGCCGGUGAAACUGGGGAUUUAGAGUGUGCGAGAGGUAUGCGGAAUGCGUGGUGUAGCAGUGAAAUGCGUAGAUAUCGAGAGGAACACUCGUGGCGAAGGCGGGUUCCUGGACAUUAACUGACGCUGAGGCACGAAGGCCAGGGGAGCGAAAGGGAUUAGAUACCCGAGUAGUC